rnacentral:rRNA from 1 species
AACGAACGCUGGCGGCAGGCUUAACACAUGCAAGUCGAACGCAUCCUUCGGGGUGAGUGGCAGACGGGUAAGUAACGCGUGGGAACGUGCCCUUCAGUUCGGGAUAACCCAGGGAAACUUGGGCUAAUACCGGAUACGUGCGAGAGCAGAAAGAUUUAUCGCUGAAGGAUCGGCCCGCGUCUGAUUAGCUAGUUGGUGGGGUAAUGGCCCACCAAGGCGACGAUCAGUAGCUGGUCUGAGAGGAUGAUCAGCCACAUUGGGACUGAGACACGGCCCAAACUCCUACGGGAGGCAGCAGUGGGGAAUAUUGGACAAUGGGCGCAAGCCUGAUCCAGCCGUGCCGCGUGAGUGAUGAAGGCCUUAGGGUUGUAAAGCUCUUUCGUCCGGGACGAUAAUGACGGUACCGGAAGAAGAAGCCCCGGCUAACUUCGUGCCAGCAGCCGCGGUAA